AUCUCCCUGCUCUUUCUAAGAGAGGGCCCUCAUCACUCUGAGAACUGGAUGUGCUGGAGCAGAUGGCAACUUUACAUUUGUCUGAUCACUGCCUCCCACACCAGAACGUGAAGUUCCCCAAGAGCAGUGACUGGAUCUGUUUUGCUUCACAUGGCUGCCCUCACCCUGCACAAUGCCUGGCACCUUGGAGGCCCCUGCCCGAGCUGCUUCUGAGUUUGUGCAGAAGAGGAAGGAAAACAAGGCAGAAGCCUAGAGUGGAGUUGGGAGGUUCCCAAGGCCAGAAGGUGAUGGUUCCAUGCGCCCUGGAGGUUAUGUUGACUCAGGCCUUCUCUCUCACAGAGUCCAGGGAAAUGAGCAGGAUUCCCUGAGGGGAGUGCUGAACUGAGGAGGCUGCAUCUGAAGCAUGGUGUUCCCAGCCUCCACAAAGAUCCGAGUAUAGAACAACGGUUCUGAUCAAAGUCAUUGAAUUGAAGGGGCCUUGAAAGGGGACCAGCAUGGGCUAAACAUCUGAGGAUCCUUGGGGAUCGUCACACCACCCUAGAGGCAUUAAAAUCUCCAUUAAUGGCUGAGCUCAAAUUUCCUGCCAGCCCAGUGGGCCAGAGAUGUAGAAUCAGAUGUAAAGAAAGCAAAUUAAUGUGACAUUGCUCAAGUCCCUGGAUAAUGGAAUGAGAUUCCUGCCUUCUCCAUUAGCAGAAGAAAGAUUUGUCCUAUGACUUGAAAGUGUCUGAAAGACCCCAGAACCUUCCCACAAAGGGAGAACAGAGCAGCUAGUAAGGAGGUGUCCCUGGUCCUCUGGGGAACCUGAUCAGCCUCUUCAAAUCCACCACCAAUGCUUGAAAAAUAGCUCUCACCUCCCUGAGAACCAGCAACCCCUCAGAUGAAAGGUAGGAUCAGUGGAGCGGGCCAUCACAGUAAUCACUCUGGGGUGAUUUGAGUGUUUCAGGGUGUCUCUUGAGCAAAAAUACCAACCUAAGCACCUAAACUUCCUCAAUCAUAUCUUUAUUCCUUCCAGUCUUGAGAUUUUCAGACUUCAGUACACAUAUUCCUGGGAAAACAUGAACCUAAGUGAGUGUAUUUAGUGCUUCUCAGGUAUGUUCAGUGAAAAUACCUGGAUCAGACUCACCUGGGGAACUUGAUAAAAACGUGUAUU